GAUGAAGAACGCAGCGAAAUGCGAUACUUGGUGUGAAUUGCAGAAUCCCGUGAACCAUCGAGUCUUUGAACGCAAGUUGCGCCCGAAGCCAUCAGGUUGAGGGCACGUCUGCCUGGGCGUCACAUAUCGUUGCUCGAUGCCUAUCGCAUUGCGAUAGGACUUAGGGCGAAUGAUGGCUUCCCGUGAGCGUUGUUGCCUCGCGGUUGGUUGAAAAUCGAGUCCUUGGUAGGGUGUGCCAUGAUAGAUGGUGGUCGAGUUAGCACGAGACCGCUCAUGUGCAUGCUCCCCAAAAUAUGGCCUCUGUGACCCACACACGUCUUUUGACGCUCAUGACGAGACCUCAGGUCAGGCGGGGCUACCCGCUGAAUUUAAGAAUAUCAAUAAGCGGAGGA
rnacentral:misc_RNA from 1 species